rnacentral:tRNA from 1 species
GAGGGUGUAGCUCAGUGGCAGAGCGCAUGCUUAGCAUGCACGAGGUCCUGGGUUCAGUCCCCAGUACCUCCU